CUAGGGCGCCGGGUGCAGGAGUGGCCUGUUCAGGUCGCAGAGCAAGGGGGUCUGGAUACACCACGGUGGCGCCUCCACGGAGGCCCUCUUUCCACCAAAGUGGGCCUCGCGAACACUGGGGAUUAGGUCGGUGAGAAGUGCCAACAUCUGUGGCUGCACCCGCUGACUCUAUUAUCCUCUGCCCCACCUGUUGGAUUCACCCAACGCAACUCUUGGGAGACACGAAAUCAAGAAAGGAGGAAAACGAGGCUUUAAUCGUCUUGGGUUCCUCCAACAAAAGGUACAGCCCCUGUUGGGCUCGUAGCCUUCUCUAUUACAAGCAAGCUCCUGGGUUCUUCCAGGAAUUUCCAGAAACUUCUACAAAUUUCUCACUCUCCUCCCCGACCCCUUCUAGCAUGAGGAUAAUAAUGCCUCGCCUUUUCUUGUUUCCUCAACGUGAUGCAGGGCAGGUUCUUGGCAUCCUCCAGACAGGGGACAAUGUUACAGCUCAGUGACUGCCCCUGCAGAGAAGUGUUAGUCCAAACUGCAACCAUUUUGUAAGCCCCCGACUAUUCUGCAGAUCUUGGUCAAAGUGAAAUAUUCCACGGGGUUCGGGCCAGUGAGAAACAUCCUGCCUAAUUACCUGACCACAAGGCGGACAAAGGCCCAACUAAAGAAACAUUAUCAUACCCUAUCGGGCAAAGGCCCAACUGAAGAAACAUCCCUAUCAUAUUCUGCUGGGAGAAAGUGCAGAGAACACCACAUUCCACCAGAACAAGGGCCAGAACUGUCUCAUCAUGGAACCAUCUUAUCAAUAUCCUGCUGGGCAGCAAGCCAUACUGCCCAGACCCCUCCCACCCAUAGCUGGUCUCGCUCUGUCGCCCAGGCUGGAGUGCAGUGGCGUGAUCUCGGCUCACUGCAAGCCCCACCUCCCGGGUUCACAUCAUUCCAGGUUGGGAAGAACAAUGAACAGUUUUUCUGAGAGAUGGCUAAUCACAAUCCCCCAUGGACACAAUGACCUCUUUCUGCAUGUAGCACCCUCCAGCAUGCCCCUAUGAAACUUCCUUCCAGUCCCUGCCUUUUUGCAGACAGCCCCCUUCUCUGCUGUGCUGCCCAUUGCAACCGUGCGAUGUAUUUUCAUAUCUUCUGUAAUAAAUCUGCCUUUCUUUACCUACAA